UUCUCCUACCUUCACCCGCCGAUACGAAUAAAACCCUCCCCACCGUAUACUACCAAUUGUAUCGAUCUCGAUCUUCAACUAUCAACGCCAUUUGAUCUUCAAACCUGUCUCAGGUUUGAAGGGUGACAGGUCUUGUUGAUAUGAGGUUCAGUGAGGGAUUGCUGUUGAUCCUUGUAGUUUUGGAGGUUUUGAAAAUGAUGAGUUCAUAUGUUUGUGUAGUAUAUUGUGAGAGGAGGAAGAGAUAUGUUUUAUUUGUUGCCCGAUGCUUUUAAAGGUAUUAAGCAGAGUGGUGUCAUUAGAUGGAGUUCUCAGGAGAUAGAGAGAUAAACAAAAAGGGAGAACACGCAAGAGCGAGAUCGAGAGAGAAAUAUGAGGGUGGCAGCGGAGGUGCUACGACGGCGCCAACCAUACCCCGGUGGUGAAUACAGAUGGAGCAGGUGAGUGAUGGUGGUAAUGAUUCGGCGGUGAAGACAGAUGGAGCAGGUGAGUGACGGUGGGAAUGAUUCGGUUACAGCCUUCCAUAAGGCGGUGGUCUACAAGAGCCACAUAAACAUCGUCGACGGUUCCAAUGUUAAAACGAAGAGGAAGACGAUGACAAAAAAACCCUAGCCGUUUCUUCCGGCGAUGGCAUCCAGGGUUUCGGCGAAGACUCCGACGAAGAUCUGGGUUCCAACGGUGGUUAGUGGCUGAACCAACAGUGACCACAACGAUCAUCGCAAGUAUGUUCAUCAUCUUCAAGACUUCCGAUUAGCUCCUGAUUGUUCGUAAGCUAAUUUAGCAUUUUGGGGCAUAAUGUAAAUAAAAAGUUAUAUUAUAAUAUUUUGAAUUCGUUAUGUAUUUUGUUUAGAUUUGAAUCCACUCCACUGGUAGUUUUUUCUAGAAAACAUUAAAGUAAUAAUGUUUUGGACCCUCUGGCAAUUUUUUAUUCUCUCUAAUUGAAAAUU
rnacentral:lncRNA from 1 species